rnacentral:lncRNA from 1 species
GGGCUGAGGCCGCUGUCGCUCGCCUGCGAGCCGCUCGGAGCCCGGUGACGGGGCUGGGUUUCCCGAAGGAGCCAAGAGCCUUCCUUUGCCCGCAGCGGCUGGUCCGGUUUACAUCCCAGGCAGAGGGUCUCACUCUAUCCAAUAGGCUGGAAUGCAGUAGCAUGAUCACCACUUACUGACGCUUUGACCUCCCAGUCUCAAGCAAUCCUCCCACUUCAGCCUUUCGAGUAGCUGAGACUACAGACAGGGUCUCCCUAUGUUACUCAAGCUGGUCUCUAAGUU